rnacentral:rRNA from 1 species
CGGCGUGCUUACCAUGCAAGUCGAGCGGUAAGGCUCCUUCGGGAGUACACGAGCGGCGAACGGGUGAGUAACACGUGAGCAAUCUGCCCUUCACUUCGGGAUAACUCCGGGAAACCGGUGCUAAUACCGAAUACGACCACUUCAGGCAUCUGAUGGUGGUGGAAAGUUCCGGCGGUGAAGGAUGAGCUCGCGGCCUAUCAGCUUGUUGGUGAGGUAACGGCCCACCAAGGCAACGACGGGUAGCCGGCCUGAGAGGGUGACCGGCCACACUGGGACUGAGACACGGCCCAGACUCCUACGGGAGGCAGCAGUGGGGAAUAUUGGACAAUGGGCGAAAGCCUGAUCCAGCAACGCCGCGUGAGGGAUGACGGCCUUCGGGUUGUAAACCUCUUUCAGCGGGGACGAAGCUUUGUCUUUUUGGGCAAAGUGACGGUACCCGCAGAAGAAGCGCCGGCCAACUACGUGCCAGCAGCCGCGGUAAU